GGUUCCGUGGUCUAGUCGGUCAUGAUUUCUCGUUAACACCGAGAAGGUCCCCGGUUCGAGCCCGGGCGGAACCA
rnacentral:tRNA from 1 species